AGCGCGGCGACUAGCACCACCGCCUACGAAGCUUCCCAUUUUGGAUGAACAGUCCCGGUGGUUCGCCUCUCCCGGCUCAGAGAGGUCGGAAGAGGCCGGAGGAGCGGCCUCAGGGCUGGAUUUCUGAAGAAGAGGAGAGGAAGGGCUCUCGACUCUUUCUGGGGGAGGUCGGUGAACGAUGAAGGGGCGGCGACGGCGGCGCCGAGAGUACUGCAAGUUUGCGCUGCUGCUAGUGCUGUACACGCUGGUACUGCUGCUCGUCCCCUCCGUGCUGGACGGCGGCCGGGACCGGGGGGGCGCCGGGCACUGCCCAGGCCUGCAGCGCAGCCUGGGAGUUUGGAGCCUGGAGGCGGCGGCGGCUGGCGAACGCGAGCAGGGCACGGAGGUGCGGUCCCCCCGGUCCCCCGGCAACCUCAGCAGCGCCGUCGGGGAAGCCGUAUCUCGCGAGAAGCAGCACAUCUACGUGCAUGCUACCUGGCGCACAGGCUCAUCCUUCCUGGGCGAGCUCUUUAACCAGCACCCGGACGUUUUCUACUUGUACGAGCCGAUGUGGCACGUAUGGCAGGCGCUGUAUCCCGGCGACGCCGAGAGCCUGCAGGGCGCGCUGCGCGAUAUGCUGCGCUCGCUCUUCCGCUGCGACUUCUCGGUGCUGCAGCUGUACGCGCCACCGGGGGACCCUGCCGCGCGCGCCCUGGACGCUGCCAACCUCACUACGGCCGCCCUCUUCCGCUGGCGGACCAACAAGGUCAUCUGCUCGCCGCCGCUGUGCCCCGGCGCGCCCCGUGCCCGCGCCGAGGUCGGACUCGUCGAGGACGCCGCCUGCGAGCGCAGCUGUCCGCCCGUGGCGCUCCGAGCCCUGGAGGCCGAGUGUCGCAAGUACCCGGUGGUGGUCAUCAAGGACGUGCGCCUCCUCGACUUGGGCGUGCUGGUGCCACUGCUGCGUGACCCGGGCCUCAACCUCAAGGUGGUGCAACUUUUCCGCGACCCGCGGGCUGUGCACAACUCGCGCCUUAAAUCUAGGCAAGGUCUGCUGCGCGAGAGUAUCCAGGUCCUGCGCACCCGCCAGCGAGGCGACCGUUUCCACCGUGUGCUGCUGGCGCACGGCGUGGGCGCGCGCCCCGGGGUCCCAUCUCGCGCGCAGCCGGCCGCGCCGCGGGCGGAUUUUUUCCUGACCCGCGCGCUCGAGGUGAUCUGUGAAGCGUGGCUGCGAGACCUGCUUUUCGCGCGCGGCGCGCCCGCCUGGCUGCGGCGUCGCUACUUGAGACUGCGCUACGAGGACCUGGUGCGGCAGCCAAGCGCCCAGCUUCGCCGUCUGCUGCACUUUGCCGGGCUGCGCGCGCUUGCCACGCUAGAAGACUUCGCGCUCAACAUGACGCGCGGCACCGCCUAUGGCGCGGACCGGCCCUUCCACUUGUCGGCGCGCGACGCCCGCGAGGCGGUGCACGCCUGGCGGGAACGUCUGAGUCGCGAGCAGGUGCGCCAGGUGGAAGCCGCUUGUGCUCCAGCCAUGCGUCUGCUGGCCUACCCUCGCAGUGGAGAGGAGGGCGACGUGGAGCCGCCCAGGGACCAGGAGAUGCCUCAGAAGAUGGAGAUGGAAGGCGCCACGUAGCCUCCCACCCCCACCCCCAGGGUGGAUCCGGCAUUCCAUGGUAUGGAUGUACCACAGUUUAUUCACCCACUGAAGGACAGUUUUUUGGCUACUACAAAGAGCUGCUGUGAAUAUUUGUGUACGGGUGCAUGAAGAUAAGUUUUCACUUCUCUGGGAUGAAUGCCCAGAAUUGCAAUUGCUGGAUUGCUAUAGUCAGUCACCACAAAGCAGGGCACUCGGUGUGUUGCCCCAAUACUGAAGAAACAAUGCUGUGGAGGCAAUGUGUCACACUGUCAGAGGUUGGGACUUGAUUUGAUACCAACUGCUGUGCAGUUCUGCUGAGCAGGAAUAUCGUGAGCUGUUAAAUACCAACGCACACACGUUGGCUGAGAUGAAGUUUCUAGUAAGGAAGUCAUGGUGCAAUGUGAAUAAUUAUGGCCAUAAAAUAGGAAGAGCUUAAGUUUCCACUCUGAACCUGCCUCUGCUGGAGUCAUUUGAACAGGGUGUCUUCACAGCAAAGAAGAGACGUGAUUUAGUACCAUUUCACAUCAGUAGGUGUCUGGACAAAUACAUCAAUGUGAAUAAGGGCCAAGUGAAGUCUUGUCUACCAUUAUUAAAUUACUUAAAAUGAAAUAAAAGGUCUGGAUGAAACUGUUUAAACCUGACUCAUCCAGAUCUCCUUCAAUUAGCUCUCCCUUAGAAGCUAUUACAAGAUAGUAUUUUUUUUUCUCCCUGGGAUUGGAGAACCCUAAUGAACUGAAACAAAUUUUUAUUGCUUUUAAAUUGUUCUAUCUGGUAUUUUUGUAAUUAUACUAUUAAAUGACUCUGGAGUCAUGAUAAUGAACGGGAUUUUUUUGUUUUGUUUUGCUAAAAAGCAGCAUUUAUGAUGUAGUUUAACUGUCUGGUUCAUGUAAAAAGUAGUCUACAUACAAAGGAAUAUGAAGAAUAUAAAGGAAAACUAUGCAGUGGGUUCAAGAAUCUUAGUUAUUACCCACUGAGAUCCUAAGCAUUAAACUGAAAUGAAAUCCACUUGCCUAAAUCUUACAACUUAAUGUUUCUGACACUCGGUGAUACUUUAUAUAGGGAUCUACAGUCAAUGCUUGCUAAAGACUUGUGCAGGCCAAGAUAAGUCACAGGCAGAGGCCAAGUUUAAGCUAUUUCCUUUACUCCUAAGGCACAUUAAAAAAAACUCUCAAAACUC